GUGGGGAAUAUUGGACAAUGGGCGAAAGCCUGAUCCAGCCAUGCCGCGUGUGUGAAGAAGGUCUUCGGAUUGUAAAGCACUUUAAGUUGGGAGGGAGGGUAGUAACCUAAUACGUUGCUACUUUGACGUUACCGACAGAAUAAGCACCGGCUAACUUCGUGCCAGCAGCCGCGGUAAUACGAAGGGUGCAAGCGUUAAUCGGAAUUACUGGGCGUAAAGCGCGCGUAGGUGGUGUUGUAAGUUGGAGGUGAAAUCCCCGGGCUCAACCUGGGAACUGCCUCCAAAACUGCAUGACUAGAGUACGGUAGAGGGUAGUGGAAUUUCCUGUGUAGCGGUGAAAUGCGUAGAUAUAGGAAGGAACACCAGUGGCGAAGGCGACUACCUGGACUGAUACUGACACUGAGGUGCGAAAGCGUGGGGAGCAAACAGGAUUAGAAACCCGAGUAGUCC
rnacentral:rRNA from 1 species